GCCGGGCAUGGUGGCGGGCGCCUGUAAUCCCAGCUGCUUGGGAGGCUGAGGCAGGAGAAUUGCUUGAACCCAGGAGGCAGAGGUUGCAGUGAGUGGAGAUUGUGCCACUGUACUCCAGCCUGGGUGACAGAGCAAGACUCUGUCUCAA
rnacentral:SRP_RNA from 1 species